AAUUGACAACCCGAAUCGCCACAUUACCAAUUCCAUCCGUAACAAAAGAAAAGCGAAAGCUACUUCAAAGCUAUUAUACAAAAGAUGUAUUAAAAUUUUCGGUUAAUUUCGGUACCCCAAUGUUCAAAAAUCGUCGAACCGAUCCAAGAAUGGAGUGCGAAAUAUGUGAUAUCACCAGCAAUGCCGGUGGCCAUAAGCUUAAUCCUCCGGACCUAAAACCCGAAACCACCCUGCAGAUGGAGAUUGACGAGGCACUGUCCUCCAGCAGUGCGGAUGACACGCCGCCGGGCAUGAUGGUGGUAGAGACUCGCAUCAGUUCCUGGCCAAAAGUGCAGUGCUUUGAGUACAAGGAUGGUACAACCACGGAUGCGGAGGAUCCUCAGCUGCCGGCCUGCUCGCUAGGCCUUAAGCCAAAUGUGCAAUUCCAGAAGCUUUCACACCCAAAUCAUCCACUGGUCAGCACCGAAGGCGCCCUGGCCGCCGCCUCCUGCUCCGCCUAUUCCACAGCUCCAGCCAAGCCCACGGUCACGGACUCCAUUGCCACGUUGCGCCACUGCGUCGAUGGUACCACCCAGUGCAAUAACCUGAAUUACGAGUCCGCAUCCAAUGAAUCGAUGCCCUCGUUGGGAUCGCUCGUGUGCCGCAUUUGUCACAAUGCCGAUAAUCCCGAACAACUCGUGUCGCCGUGUUUGUGCAAGGGCUCGCUGACAUAUGUCCAUGUGCACUGCCUGGAGUGUUGGAUUAGCACCUCGCGCUGCACCACCUGCGAGUUGUGCCAGUUCCAGUACAAUACGGAGCAGACUCUGCGAUUUCGUUGCAGGUACACCUGUCUGCAGUCGCUGCGCCUGUGGUACACGAGGGCCAUGAGUCGCAGGGCGCUGCAGGAGGACUGCCAGAUGUUCUCGCUGCUCACGCUGGUGGCCUUUGGCAUUAUCGGAACUUUGCUGGUGGGCAUCCAGUACUACGCCCUGCACACCCACUCCUGGGGACUGAGUAAGCUGUGGACCAAGUCCUGGAUGCUGUUCUUCCUGUUCAUGACGAUCACCGUUUACUUUGCCAAUAUCUACAUGUUGGUCAAGUCCCAGCUGACGCCCUGGUAUCGCUGGUGGCAGUCUGCGCGGGACAUUAAACUUAUCCUGGAGAAUCGGCGGCCGUUUCCCAACCCAAGUCGCUUCCUGCGGCCAUUUCACAUGGAGACGGCCUCGACGACUCCAUCUAUGUUCACCCACCACGAUCAGCAGGAGGUACCGGUGACCAGCUCUUCGCCGGGCCUCGUGAUCACGUCCAGCGACGAGGAGGCGGAGGAUAAGUUGGCCCCCAAAUGGGGUAGGCGACUGGACAGCGAUGUCCUGGCCGCAGUGGUGGCGGCCACCGUGGAAUCGAUUGCUGACGCAAGUGCCCGCGAGAGUGACAAACAGGACGAGGAGCAGCAGCAGAAUUCGUUGCAACAGCAACAGCAACAACGGCAACCGGAUGGCGGCAACUGAAAGGGCAAUGACGAGCACUGGACUGGGUCUCGAGGGGAUCUGGAUGGAUAGCAUGGUGGAUAGCAAGGUCUGGGCAAGUAAUUAAGACUCAAGGGCAAGGAUUUGGCUGGGCUUACGUUGUUUGCGUGUCAUUUGUUUAAUGUAGUUUCAAUGCCUCAAAUUAACUCUCGCUCGAUGAGAGCUCGAAAUAAAUGGGUGGAACCGUUGGAGGAACUCCUGUUCUUGUUUUCCUGUUCUCCGGUUCGUGCCAGCACUUUGGCUGCUUCCUCCAAGGCGCACAACUUCCGGUUUCCGGCCUUGGGCUCACUUCUCUCCCUCACUUCCACCCACCUCUCCGGCCACCUUAAAGCGGGUAUAUUAAAGCUGAUAACACGGACGCACAAGGAUGAUGGCUGAGCCAGUCACGUGAUUGAUGGCUCAUAAAUUAGUCAUUUUGCUAGAGCGAGCACCCAUGCCUAUUUGGCAGCGUGUGGGCGUUUAUUUUCCAAGGAAAGCAGGAGGAAUUGCAGCACUCGUUAAGGAAGGCAACUCCCACAGAACGUUGCUCGGUUGUCGCCUGUCUUGUUUGGCCAUUUUUCUCCCAGUCUCGAGUGCAGCCUCGAAAUCACCCGGUAAUUUGGUCUAGGCCUCCUACACAUCCACUUGCCCCCCUUGCCAUGGCAUAGCAUUUAAUAACAGGCCGAGUCCUGGUUGCUAAUGCACACUGGUUCGAGGAUCCGGCGUAGUUGCCUGAAUUUUGAGUGAUUGGACUAUCUGUCACCACUCCCGGGCCACUGUAUGUAGUAGGCCAAAAAAGGGCUAAUCCUGGCUAAGAGAUGCGAGCGCUGGCCGCCCACCUAAUGUGCCAGUGAUGUUGACAUAUUAGGCCAGGCACUCCAACCCGCCUCGUUUGCGUAUGGGCCAUAUUUGGCAAGGGGUUAACAACCCACUGCGACCUUCAAUCAUUUAUUUGGCUUUGGACUAUGGACUUUGGACUAGGGCGAAACGAUACGAAACGGAACAAAAGGAACAGGACCCCAAUGGUUUGGCAAUCACGGAGCGGAAUGAUUGAGUGCCUGCAAAUCCCAAACGGAAUUUUCAUUUAUUUUGCACAAUUUCCAUAUGUUAAGCCAUUGACUUUGGUACCCUGCCUUUGGGCUGCUUUUUUAUCAGAUAUGCCAUUGGCUCUCAAAUGCACGUGCACUAAAAACUAAUUAAUUCGUUUGUUGGAUUUUUGAUAAAUAUUUUUUUCGAAUUGCAAA